rnacentral:rRNA from 1 species
GCGCGAAACCUUUACAAUGCACGCAAGUGUGAUAGGGGAAUUCUCAGUGCUCAUGCAUUGCAUGGGCUUUUGCCAAGGAUAAAUACCUUGGCGAAUAAGUGGUGGGUAAGACUGGUGCCAGCCGCCGCGGUAACACCAGCGCCACGAGUGGGGAUCGCGAUUAUUGGGCCUAAAGCGUCCGUAGCCGGCUUUGUAAAUUCUUUGUGAAAUCGUUGGGCUUAACUCAACGGCUUGCAGAGAACACUGCAAAGCUCGGGACCGGGAGGGGCUGGAGGUAUUCUGUGGGGAGCGGUAAAAUGCUAUAAUCCACGGAGGACCACCGAUGGCGAAGGCAUCCAGCCAGAACGGAUCCGACGGUGAGGGACGAAAGCCAGGGGAGCGAACCGGAUUAGAUACCCGAGUAGUCCUGGCCGUAAACGCUGCGAGCAAGGUGUUGCGCAAUCUACGGGAUUGCGCAGCGUCGAAAUGAAGAUGUUAAGCUCGCCGCCUGGGAAGUACGGUCGCAAGGCUGAAACUUUAAGGAAUUGG